rnacentral:rRNA from 1 species
UACAGAGGGUGCGAGCGUUGUCCGGAAUCACUGGGCGUAAAGGGCGCGUAGGCGGCCUGGUAAGCGUGCGGUGAAAGCCCGGGGCUCAACCCCGGGAGGCGGAUGGAUACUGCUUGGCUCGAGUCCGGAAGAGGCGAGUGGAAUUCCCGGUGUAGCGGUGAAAUGCGCAGAUAUCGGGAGGAACACCAAUGGCGAAGGCAGCUCGCUGGGACGGUACUGACGCUGAGGUGCGAAAGCGUGGGGAGCGAACGGG